GGAGGCUUGGGGAAAGGCAGGCUACUGGGGAGCUGGGUAGUUCAGAAGCCCAGCCUCCUGUGUCUCCUUCCCCAG
ensembl:miRNA Mir7053 microRNA 7053